UACGUAGGCAGCGAGCGUUGUUCGGAGUUACUGGGCGUAAAGAGUGCGUAGGCGGUUUUCUAAGUUUGGUGUGAAAUCUCCCGGCUUAACUGGGAGGGUGCGCCGAAAACUGGAAGGCUUGAGUAUGGGAGAGGUAAGCGGAAUUCCUGGUGUAGCGGUGAAAUGCGUGGAUAUCAGGAGGAACACCGAUGGCGAAGGCAGAUCUCUGGGCCGUAACUGACGCUGAGGAGCGAAAGCAUGGGGAGCGAACAGG
rnacentral:rRNA from 1 species